rnacentral:ncRNA from 1 species
CCCUGACAGUUGCAUCGUGUAACUGACACUAGCCAAGACAGGAGAAACACAUAUG